UGCUCUGAUCCGGCAGAACGGGACCCCGCAGCUGCAGGAGCCCCGGCGCCUGUCGGCUCUGCUGCGGGACUUCCUCGAGUGCAGCCUGGAGCCGGACGAGGAGCGGCGCUGGGCUGCCCAGGAGCUGCUGCAGCACCCAUUUUUGUCAUCAGCCAAGCCUCUCUCCAGCCUGACCCCUCUGAUCACUGCAGCGAAGAAACUGAGGGAGCAGCGGAGGAGAUGAAGCACUUGAGGAGAGCUCCUUGUUACAGUAGUUAGGACAAUUAGUUAGUUAUUGUAGUUAGCACUGCUAGUUAGUUAUGGUAGUUAGCUGUGGUAGUUAGUUAUGACAGUUAGCACUGAUAGUUGGUUAUGGUAGUUAGCACUGAUAUUUAGUUAUGGUAGUUAGGACAGCCUGUUUGUUAUGACAAUUUUUGGAAUAAAAACUCUCUCAAACCUC